rnacentral:rRNA from 1 species
CGCGAACGUUGGCGGCGUGCCUAACACAUGCAAGUCGUGGGGCUGCAGGCUACUACCUUCGGGUAGUAGUGCUGGCGACCGGCAAACGGGUGAGUAACACGUAGCUUACCUACCCAUAGGUUGGGGAUAACAUCCCGAAAGGGGUGCUAAUACCCAAUAAUGAGGAGACUCCAAAGCCCUUAUGGGCGCCUAUGGAUGGGGCUGCGUCCCAUCAGCUAGUUGGUGAGGUAAUGGCUCACCAAGGCUACGACGGGUAACCGGUCUGAGAGGAUGACCGGUCACAGUGGGACUGAGACACGGCCCGCACCCCUACGGGGGGCAGCAGUGGGGAAUAUUGGGCAAUGGCCGAAAGGCUGACCCAGCAACGCCGCGUGGUGGAUGAAGCCCUUCGGGGUGUAAACACCUUUUCUGGGGGAAGAUAAUGACGGUACCCCAGGAAUAAGGGACGGCUAACUACGUGCCAGCAGCCGCGGUAAUACGUAG